GGAAUCUUCCGCAAUGGGCGAAAGCCUGACGGAGCAACGCCGCGUGAGUGAUGAAGGUUUUCGGAUCGUAAAGCUCUGUUGCCAGGGAAGAACGUCUUGUAGAGUAACUGCUACAAGAGUGACGGUACCUGAGAAGAAAGCCCCGGCUAACUACGUGCCAGCAGCCGCGGUAAUACGUAGGGGGCAAGCGUUGUCCGGAAUUAUUGGGCGUAAAGCGCGCGCAGGCGGCUCUUUAAGUCUGGUGUUUAAUCCCGAGGCUCAACUUCGGGUCGCAUUGGAAACUGGAGAGCUUGAGUGCAGAAGAGGAGAGUGGAAUUCCACGUGUAGCGGUGAAAUGCGUAGAGAUGUGGAGGAACACCAGUGGCGAAGGCGACUCUCUGGGCUGUAACUGACGCUGAGGCGCGAAAGCGUGGGGAGCAAACAGGA
rnacentral:misc_RNA from 1 species